CAGCAGCCACGGUAAUACGUAGGUGGCAAGCGUUGUCCGGAAUUAUUGGGCGUAAAGGGCUCGCAGGCGGUUUCUUAAGUCUGAUGUGAAAGCCCCUGGCUCAACCGGGGAGGGUCAUUGGAAACUGGGAAACUUGAGUGCAGAAGAGGAGAGUGGAAUUCCACGUGUAGCGGUGAAAUGCGUAGAGAUGUGGAGGAACACCAGUGGCGAAGGCGACUCUCUGGUCUGUAACUGACGCUGAGGAGCGAAAGCGUGGGGAGCGAACAGGAUUAGAUACCCGAGUAGUCCCUGUCUCUUAUAC
rnacentral:rRNA from 1 species